UUAAAACUAAUUAAAAAUAAUUAUUCUAACUAUUUAAAACAAUUAACUCUAAUAUUCCAAAUCCUAAUCUACUUCCUAAUUAAAUUCUAACAUGUUAACCAAGAUAAUCUUAAUUGUUAAUUCCUAAUUACCUUAAUUAACAAGAGUUAAUAUGGCAAAAAACAAUUAAUAAAAAAAUGAGAUGAUGGAGAGGAAUUCGUCCAAGGCCCACUUCCAUAAGCCCAAUUCACUAGUCCAUACACAACUUGGGGUGUAUCAGCAUAACAAGGAUGAUAGUGAGUAAAAUGGUGAAGCUCAUUCCCAUGGAGGCCCAACAUCAACGCAACAAGGGUCCAAUGUCAUUCAGCACGUGGAGAUUAACAUUUGAAAAGAACUGAAAAUGCGUCAGUCAACAAAGUCAGCUCAUGUCCUGUUCAGGUGAACCACCAUGGGCCACCGUGCCAGAAAUCGCCUACGGAGGCGGUGGCCAUCAGAAAUGGAAAAUGGAACCACCAAAACAACUGUCUCCUCAUGCUCAAUCCUAAUUUACCCUCAAUUUCACUAGAUUUCUGGCCUAAAGCCCUAACCGAAUCGAAUAACCUCAAGAACCCUAAAUGCUAAAACGCGAAUUAAACGAUGCUCAGGAGCCAAACAAAGAUCAAACCAUUGGGUUUUCGCUCCCCAAACGAGGCACUACAUUGUGAUGUCCUUAGAUUGGAGAAAAAGAGUGGAAAAGAAAUACCUAUCGGAGCAACUCCGGUGGUUCUUUGUCGGUAAAACGAAGGUUUAGGAUCGUAUACAUUUGUUCAUGUGAUGAAUGUGAAUGCUUUCACUUCUAUCAGUUCACAUUGCCAGUGUUGUGUGUUGUUGUUGUGAUAAGAUGGAAUGCAACAUAAAUGAGAAGCCAUCUACUGUAGCAUCAAAUGAAAAGCCAAUGGAAUGCACCAUGUAAUGAAAAGCCAGCUAAUGAACCCUUUAAAAUCCAUCAACCAUGACAUGUGAUUGUAAUGUAAUAUGACCGUUUUGUGCAUUGCUCAUAAUAUUGGUAAGCAUGUUGUUAUUGAGGGACCGAGCUGCUAUGAACUUGUGGUUGUUGACUUGUAUGAUUUUGGUUAUUUUGUCUUGAGCUUUGUCAUGUCCCCUUAGAAUGUGCCAUACCAUGGUAACCAUUGGAUGCCCUAAGUGCUUGGAUUGUCAUGAAACUAGAUGAAAAUUUAGGGCUUCUAAUAUAUGCUAUGUAUUGGUGUGAAUUGAAUGCAGGUACUAUGCUUCGGAACUUGGUUUGCAACAAGUUUUUGCUAGUUAUGCAACUUGACCAUGGUGUAAGGCAGUAGAUACUUUCAUUAGCUUGUGUUGCUUGAUGUUUCAUGGUGAUCUUAUAGGGUACACUCACAAUUCUGACUUUGGUUUGCAGCAUUGUUUAUGCAGUAGGUUUUUAUGUGGUCUACAUCAUUCUUGGUUUUGACUUGGCUCAAUGUUGUGCACAUGGAAUGGACAAAGGUGGUUGAGAAAAAGGCUUGCAACACAAAUGACCAAGUUUGAAUCUUGGAGCCUUCAUGACAAAUGUCAAGGAUUCAAAGGUCAAGGAUUACAUGGAGUUUAGGAAUGGAAAUAGGAUUAGAGUUAGGGUUUUGGAAACUUUGGUUGACUUUGGUCAAAGUUGACCAAAAAGUCAAUUGUUGACUAAAGUCAACAUUUGGUCAAAGUUCCCAAUUUUUGUACUUUCUCAUGUAUGGACAUUUUUAUGCUUUGUAAUGGACAUUUGAAUGAAAUUUGAAUGGUUUUGAAGUUGAA